UACGUAGGGUGCGAGCGUUGUCCGGAAUUAUUGGGCGUAAAGGGCUCGUAGGCGGUUUGUCGCGUCGGGAGUGAAAACCAGGUGCUUAACACCUGGCUUGCUUUCGAUACGGGCAGACUAGAGGUAUUCAGGGGAGAACGGAAUUCCUGGUGUAGCGGUGAAAUGCGCAGAUAUCAGGAGGAACACCGGUGGCGAAGGCGGGUCUCUGGGCAGGAACUGACGCUGAGGAGCGAAAGCGUGGGGAGCGAACAGG
rnacentral:rRNA from 1 species